CCUGGAGACUCCUACGGGAGGCAGCAGUGAGGAAUAUUGGUCAAUGGGCGAGAGCCUGAGCCAGCCAAGUCGCGUGAAGGAUGACUGUCUUAUGGAUUGUAAACUUCUUUUAUACGGGAAUAACAAGAGCCACGUGUGGCUCCCUGCAUGUACCGUAUGAAUAAGCAUCGGCUAACUCCGUGCCAGCAGCCGCGGUAAUACGGAGGAUGCGAGCGUUAUCCGGAUUUAUUGGGUUUAAAGGGUGCGUAGGCGGCCUGUUAAGUCAGCGGUGAAAUAUAGGAGCUUAACUCCUAAAUUGCCAGUGGUACUGGCGGGGUUGAGUGUAGAUGAGGUAGGCAGAAUGCGUGGUGUAGCGGUGAAAUGCAUAGAUAUCACGCAGAACUCCGAUUGCGAAGGCAGCUUACUAAGGUACAACUGACGCUGAAGCACGAAAGCGUGGGUAUCAAACAGGAUUAGAAACCCCGGUAGUCCUAG
rnacentral:rRNA from 1 species